rnacentral:lncRNA from 1 species
GCUGUUUUACUCUUGAAAUGAUUUGCAAAUAUGAAUACAUAAAUUGUGCACGUAUAUAAAAUGACACUCUAUUCUUCAACAUAAUGGAAUGAAAAAAAAUAUCAUACCCUGAACUUACAACCUUCAUUUUUUUCUACAGUGAACACAAGUAAUAAUUAAUGGAAAGAAUACAUUUUUUUAAGAACGUUCAAAAUGCAAUACAAAUAACUUGCAGUUAAUAAUCAAAGUACUUGAAAGCACUGAACAGUAAAGAUUGCUUCAAUUUAUCAGUGGGAAGUAAAAUUAAAUAUGGCAUUGGUUGUUGUUGAUUUAACAGCUAUUCUAGACAAAGGAAGAUAACUCAAAUUUAUAAAGAUGAGGUUAACAAUGACAUAAUUUAUAUUUCUAGAACAGAUAUUUGAAUCCUGCAGCUUGCAAAAGUUAUGUAAUUUUCUUGACAAGUGAAACAUCAUUUUGUGCCUUGAAUAUCUGAGCAUAUAUUAAAAUCGAAAAAUUUCUGAAAAUGUUCAUGCAAAGUAUGUAUAGAAUGUUAUGGUCAAUGCACUAUAUUUUGUGUAUCAAAAAGGUAGCCUUGGAACAUUUAGAUAUCAAGUCAGACCCAUAACGUUUUGAUUGCAUUUCAUGCAAUCUUUACUUAUAAAAUGAAAUUAAUACCUGGUUCCUGUUUACAUAGUUUGAUUUUUAUUUACACUAAACAGGAAAGUAUUAUGUUUGCUCAGUUCAUUAUUUACAUUAAAAACAUGAAAAAUUGUAUCAAUUUACCAUAUUCAAUUUCAACAAAAAUUCCCUUCAUAUUUAUGUAAAUUUAAGAUAAAUAUGAAAAUCAGGUAUAAUUUACAAAAAAAGAUGUGGUAUGAUGCAAAUGAGACAACAAUCAGAUAAAAAAACAAAUUGAAGUAGAUUUAAGCAACUACAGAAAACUGUACUGGCUUCAACAAAGAGCAAAACUAUAAUGUAUUGUACCAGUAAGCAAUGAAAGGAGGGACAUGUAUGAUGUUGAAUGAUUCAAAUGAAAAAAAACCCAUCUUGAUUUAUGUACAUUACAACACACUAAUAUCAAAUUUCAGACAGCAACAACUGACAACCUCUAAAUGAGAAGUUACUAACUUGGGACAGGCAGAGUUGAGCAUGAUUGUGAGAGCUAAAUUCUCCCAUAACCUGAGAAAAUGGUGUCACCGUACAAGAUAAGAACAAACCAUCAUUUAAAAAUCAGUUGAAAAUGGCUUGCCUUAUCGAUGUAAAGCAAUUGAUAUAAAGCGGUGUUCUCACAGUGACUGACAGCUACAGGUAGUUCAUUAACUACAACUCAUAUAUAAACUAUGUUGAUAAUACCAGACCAAAAUAUCAUUCACAGCAUAGUAUAUGUCAAUAUCUUGCAUAAACCCAAUGACAUUACAAUGUUUCCAUGGUGACUUAAACAAUCAUUUAAGAAGAUGAGGAAAACCUGAUUAUAUAUCUGAAAUAAGUAAACAACUUAAGGGCAGGAGCAUUGUUUGUUUUUAUUUAUUUUACUACUUGAACACUUAAAAAAGACCAGAACACUCAAUAGUUUAUCAGAUAAAUGAUUGUUUUAAAUUUAUACACUUGUGUCUUCAAACUGAUGAAUAAAUGUUCAGAAAAAAAGUUUUAACAGAGAUAUUUAAUGAAGUUUUAUCUGCAUUGAAAACGAAAGACAAUCACUGUGACUUUGAGUAGAUGAGUUUAAUAUGAUAAACAUCUUUAUAAUAGUUUUUAAUUGGAUAUUUACUGUACUUGUACUUUUUUUCGAGGGUACCUAUUUUCGCUAAUUGUGUAUUCCAAACACAUUCGUGAGUAUUUAUCUUUGGGAUAUUAUAAUUAUUGCCUUUCAGGUGAAAGGUUUGAGUUAGAUUCACGUGUAUUUAUUUUCGUGAUAAUAAACCAACCGUGAACUUCGUGAAAAUAAAUACACCGUGAAAAUAAGUACAAUUACAGUAUAUCAUAGAUAAUUGCAAUCUAAAUCUUCAGUGGAAUGAAAUGAAAAGGUAAAAUGGAAAAGAAAGGACAUGGGGUAUCCAUCCAUGACAUAAAAUACAAAUAUAGUCUACUGGCACCAACAAAGUAUACUGGCAAAAAUGAUUGUAUAUUUUAACAUAAAAUAUCUUAGUUUUAAACUCAUUUUUAGUUUUAACUAUGUGUUAACUAGAACAAUACACUUGAUAAUGGUCAAAAGUAAUGUUUGAUCUACAAAAAACUUUUCCUAAAUUAUCUUUAAAUCCAGUUUGCAUAUGAAUGAGCUCUGGAAAAUCCAUUUAUUCAUUAAAAAUUGCGAACCCAAUUGUACCUUUUCAUAGAUUCACCGGAGUUACCUGUCCAUUUAAACUUUAGGCAGUUUGAUUGUCUCAUUGCACAAAUACAAUAGGUAUUGUUCUCUAUGUAGAUAAAACCCGGUUCAAUCCACCAUUUUCUACAUUAGAAAAUGCCUGUACCAAGUCAGGAAUAUGACAGUUGUUAUCCAUUCGUUUGAUGUGUUUGGACUUUUGAUUUUGCCUUUUGAUUUUUGAUUUUCCUUUUUGAAUUUUCCUCGGAGUUCAGUAUUUUUGUGUUUUUACUUUUUAUUCACUCAGACCUUUAAUUUUCUUGUAAGAGAAAUCUAUCACUCAUUGAUUAAUCUACCUGAGUAAAAGAUUUAUCUGCUAAAUAGAUAGAAACAGGUCUACCAUUAAGAAGUGAUUUUGU